GAAAGUGGAAAGAGAAGCAGUUGUGAGACAACUUCGGCAAGAGCUGGUGGAUACUGUACAAAAGCUCUCUAGGUCCCAGACUUCGCUAGAGAUUAAAUCACGUUGCCACGCUCAUUGAGAAGAUGAGGCUCAGAAUUCACAGAAGCAAUUAAGUCAGGCCAACAGUCAAAGGUGUGAAGGAUGAUUCAGUGCAACUGUAAGAGAUCACUUCCAUUGUCCUAAAGGAUGCAAUAUUGUUAGAACAUAAAAUACAAUAAAAUAAGAAAUCAUGUUGUCAAGCUCAUUUAGAAGAUGAGGCCCAGGAUUCAAAGC